rnacentral:tRNA from 1 species
GGAGAGGUGCCGGAGUGGACGAACGGGCAUGCCUGGAGAGCAUGUGUCUCCUUUGGGGACCGUGGGUUCGAAUCCCACCCUCUCCG